UACGUAGGGGGCUAGCGUUGUCCGGAAUUAUUGGGCGUAAAGAGCUCGUAGGCGGUCUGUCGCGUCGGUCGUGAAAACUUGGGGCUUAACCCUGAGCUUGCGGUCGAUACGGGCAUGACUGGAGUUCGGCAGGGGAGACUGGAAUUCCUGGUGUAGCGGUGAAAUGCGCAGAUAUCAGGAGGAACACCGGUGGCGAAGGCGGGCUCUGGGCCGAUACUGACGCUGAGGAGCGAAAGCGUGGGGAGCGAACAGG
rnacentral:rRNA from 1 species